rnacentral:rRNA from 1 species
UACGUAGGGGGCAAGCGUUGUCCGGAAUUAUUGGGCGUAAAGAGCGCGUAGGCGGUCCGAUAAGUCGGCUGUGAAAGUCAGGGGCUCAACCCUUGGAAGCCGGCCGAUACUGUCGGACUAGAGUCCGGAAGAGGCAAGUGGAAUUCCCGGUGUAGCGGUGAAAUGCGCAGAUAUCGGGAGGAACACCAAUGGCGAAGGCAGCUCGCUGGGACGGUACUGACGCUGAGGCGCGAAAGCGUGGGGAGCAAACAGG